CUGGCUGCGGCUAACGGGCCCCGCGGAGCAGCUGCUCCGGGCAGGUGGGGCCUGGGGGCUUAGCGCACCCCAGCGGCUGCUGCAGAUCACUGGGAUGGCGAAGGAGUAACUCAGGGAGGUACAACUCUCUAGUGCCAGUUCCACAGCCAGUUGGAACCGCCAUGUGCCUCUGUGCUGCACACAACAGACUUAGAGAGCUUCACAGCUGUGGCUGGGACAGAAUCCCCAUCACCUGUACCAAAGCACAAGGCCCCGAUGCCUGAGCUAAUGGAGAAUCUCUGCUAUCUGUUAGCAGUGCAGGGCCCAUGACAGCCAGGGAACUAUGAGAGAUAUAUGCAUUUACACACCAGCCUGUUCAUUACACACUUGCCUAUAU